AACGAACGCUGGCGGCAUGCCUAACACAUGCAAGUCGAACGAGACCUUCGGGUCUAGUGGCGCACGGGUGCGUAACGCGUGGGAACCUGCCCUUAGGUUCGGAAUAACUCCCCGAAAGGGGUGCUAAUACCGGAUAAUGUCUUCGGACCAAAGAUUUAUCGCCUUUGGAUGGGCACGCGUUGGAUUAGCUAGUUGGUAGGGUAAAAGCCUACCAAGGCGACGAUUCAUAGCUGGUCUGAGAGGAUGAUCAGCCACACUGGGAAUGAGACACGGCCCAGACUCCUACGGGAAGCAGCAGGGGGGAAUAUUGGACAAUGGGCGAAAGCCUGAUCCAGCAAUGCCGCGUGAGUGAUGAAGGCCUUAGGGUUGUAAAGCUCUUUUACCCGGGAUGAUAAUGACAGUACCGGGAGAAUAAGCUCCGGCUAACUCCGUG
rnacentral:rRNA from 1 species